GAUAUUUCAAUGUCCUUCCAGAUAUUUGACGUUGACCGUGGUGCUGAAAGAAAAUUAAGGUUUGAACUAGGUUUCCUGGUGCUUCUCUGCAAAAGAUUAUUCACUGAUAUAGAGAGAUAUGUUACUUGUUGAAGUAAAGAGUGAAGAUUUGUUCUACAUCCUAUUCUCUUACCUCCUGUGCUGCACUGAAGGAAGGGGCAGAGCUGGAAAUGAACUUGAUAAAAUACACAAGAUUUGAGAACCAGAGCAAUGUCCAAUGCUUGUGAUGAAUCUUAAAUAAAUAAUGGCUGCUAGACAAAUAAAAAGGACAAUAUUCUGAAAGAAAAA
rnacentral:lncRNA from 1 species